CUCAUCUCCUCCUCCACCAGUGCAUGUCUAUCCAUCACCACCCCAUCACCCUGUAUAUAAGUCUCCACCACCACCUAAGAAGCCCUACCACCCUUCACCAACCCCAUAUCAUCCUGUACCCGUUUAUAAAUCUCCACCCCCACCAACUCCAGUUUACAAGUCGCCACCACCACCCAAGAAGCCACAAUAUCCUCCACACAUCCCGGUUUAUAAGUCGCCACCACCACCAACUCCCGUUUACAAGUCACCACCACCACCCAAGAAGCCACACUACCCUCCACACAUCCCUGUUUAUAAGUCACCACCACCGCCCAAGAAGCCAUACUAUCCUCCACAUACUCCAGUUUACAAGUCGCCACCACCACCAACUCCGGUUUACAAGUCACCACCGCCACCCAAGAAACCAUACUAUCCUCCACACAUCCCUGUUUACAAAUCUCCACCACCACCUACUCCAGUUUACAAGUCGCCACCACCACCCAAGAAGCCAUACUACCCUCCACACACCCCGGUUUAUAAGUCUCCACCACCACCAACUCCUGUUUACAAGUCACCACCACCACCCAAGAAGCCAUACUAUCCUCCACACACACCAGUUUACAAGUCGCCACCACCACCUACUCCCGUUUACAAGUCACCACCACCACCAACACCCGUUUACAAGUCACCACCACCACCUAAGAAGCCACACCAUCCUUCACCAACCCCAUAUCAUCCUGCACCAGUUUACAAGUCCCCACCACCACCUAAGAAGCCAGACCACCCUUCACCAACACCGUAUCAUCCUGCACCAGUUUACAAAUCCCCACCGCCACCUACUCCAGUUUACAAGUCACCACCACCUUCAGUGAAGCCAUACCAUCCUUCACCAACACCAUAUCAUCCUGCACCAGUUUAUAAGCCUCCACCACCACCAACUCCUGUCUACAAGUCACCUCCACCACCAACUCCAGUCUACAAGUCUCUACCACCGCACCACCCCUAUCUUUACACUUCUCCUCCUCCUCCCUACCAUUACUAAGAAGUGUCAUCGCAAAGUUGAAGG
rnacentral:lncRNA from 1 species